UACGUAGGUCCCGAGCGUUAUCCGGAAUUACUGGGUGUAAAGGGAGCGUAGACGGUAAUGUAAGUCUGGAGUGAAAGGCGGGGGCCCAACCCCCGGACUGCUCUGGAAACUAUGUUACUAGAGUGCAGGAGAGGUAAGCGGAAUUCCUAGUGUAGCGGUGAAAUGCGUAGAUAUUAGGAGGAACACCAGUGGCGAAGGCGGCUUACUGGACUGUAACUGACGUUGAGGCUCGAAAGCGUGGGGAGCAAACAGG
rnacentral:rRNA from 1 species